AUUGAACGCUGGCGGCAGGCUUAACACAUGCAAGUCGAACGAGUGGCGGACGGGUGAGUAAUGCUUGGGAAUCUGCCUGAUGGAGGGGGAUAACUACUGGAAACGGUAGCUAAUACCGCAUACCAUAAGAUGAGCCCAGAGGGGAUUAGGUGGUUGGUGGGGGAACGGCUCACCAAGGCGACGAUCUCUAGCUGGUCUGAGAGGAUGACCAGCGACACUGGAACUGAGACACGGCCCAGACUCCUACGGGAGGCAGCAGUGGGGAAUAUUGCACAAUGGGGGCAAGCCUGAUGAAGCCAUGCCGCGUGGAUGAAGAAGGCCUUCGGGUUGUAAAGUUCUUUCAGCGGGGAGGCGUUACCCGCAGAAGAAGCACCGGCUAACUCCGUGCCAGCAGCCGCGGUAAUAC
rnacentral:rRNA from 1 species